rnacentral:rRNA from 1 species
UAUUGCACAAUGGGGGGAACCCUGAUGCAGCGACGCCGCGUGAGGGAAGAAGGUUUUUGGAUNGUCAACCUCCGUCCUUGGUAAANNNNNNNGNCGGUAGCUAAGGAGGAAGCCACGGCUACCAACGUGCNAGCAGCCGCGGUAAUACGUAGGUGGCAAGCGUUGUCCGGAAUUACUGGGUGUAAAGGGAGCGUAGGCGGUUAUGCAAGUUGAAUGUGAAAUCUAUCGGCUCAACUGAUAGGCUGCGUUCAAAACUGUAUAUCUUGAGUGAAGUAGAGGCAGGCGGAAUUCCUAGUGUAGCGGUGAAAUGCGUAAAUAUUAGGAGGAACACCAGUGGCGAAGGCGGUCUGCUGGGCUUUAACUGACGCUGAGGCUCGAAAGCGUGGGUAGCAA